UACGGAGGGAGCUAGCGUUGUUCGGAAUUACUGGGCGUAAAGCGCGCGUAGGCGGCUUUGUAAGUUAGAGGUGAAAGCCCGGAGCUCAACUCCGGAACUGCCUUUAAAACUGCAUCGCUUGAAUCCAGGAGAGGUGAGUGGAAUUCCGAGUGUAGAGGUGAAAUUCGAUAGAUAUUCGGAAGAACACCAGUGGCGAAGGCGGCUCACUGGACUGGUAUUGACGCUGAGGUGGCGAAAAGCG
rnacentral:rRNA from 1 species